CAGGUCUGUACUCCUUGAACUCUGGAGGACUGCAACAACUUCGAGGCUAGCCUGGGCUACAUCAUAAACUUCAGGAAAGCCUGGGCUACAGGAAUGCGUGAAUGAGACCCUGAUUCUACAAAAACCAAAACCAAACAAAAAGUGAUGAAGAGGUUAAAAUAUGCAAAUAUCUAAGUGGUCUAACUUCUUGAUUACUCUGGGUAUACACCCAGUAAUGGUAUGGCUGGAACAUAUGGUCCUAUUUUUAAUUUCUUGAUGAACAUUCAUAGUAAUUCCUGUAGUGGCCACACUAACAUUUCCACCAUCUCUCUAUUUACAGUAGCAACAUCACAGAACCAACCUAGAUGCUGUCCAACAAAUGAACAGAUAUUGAGCUUGACCCAACAAGGGGUCCUUCUGUGAAGAUAGCUCUCCACAGAUCUGCAUGCAAGCACAGGAUUGGGUUCAACUCCAGAAGCCUUCAGCUGGUUCUCAGUUGCGACCUGACUUCCAGUAUGUGAACUAUGAUGGCUGAGGCUGUUGGAUCGACAGGAUCUAGAAUCACCUAGAAAACAAACCUCAGGGCAAGCCUAUGACAGAGCUUCUAGGGGGGGUUAACUGAAGUGGGAAAACUCACCCUAAAUGUGGGAGGACUGAGCUGAGGUCUUGGACUGAAUAAAAAGGAGACAGCAGAACACCAGCAUUCAUCUCUGUUUCCUUACUGCGGACUAAGCCACCUCGAGCUCCUAUAUUGCCUUGCCCUCUCUACCACGAUGUGCUGUAUCCUCAAACAGCUUACGUGAAUUCAUCAUUCCCGAGGUUGCCUUUGCUGGGUAUGGUGCUGCAGUGGCAGGGAAAGUCAUGAACACAGACCAUCAUUUUAUUGUGCACUUUUGGAAACCCCUCUCUAAAUGAACACGCCCUCUUUCGACUACAGUCACCAAGACCUGAGUUAAGAAUAUGACUGACUGACAACCCCAUUCUCCUGUGUCACUGACCCCCUCAGAGGUAAAAGGGUGGUCUCUUAACUUCUCUGUAAACAGAGAGGGAGAGCUCUGAUGUGAACACACUCCAAGAUGAAACUUGAAUGAAUGAGUUCAUAGUUUGAGACAGAGCUUCAUUCUAUCCAGACAGGGCUAAACUCACUGUGUAGCCCAGGUUGGCUAUUGUCUUCCUACAUCAGCCUCCUGAGAGCUGGGAUUACGGUGAGGACCACCAAUCCCAGCUCUUUCCUUCUUACUCUUCACCUCCCAUCCAUAUAGCAAGCAGUCUCUAGUUCUUACUAUAUUGUUUUAGGCCCCAAAGGCACAGAUAUGGGCUGAUAGCCCAUGGGAAGGAUGGGACAAAUCACCCUGCUGUCAUAGCAUUGUAGCAAAGCUGAGGCAACUCACAGAGCCAGCAUAUGGUGGCCUCUGAGGCCCCAUGGGACCAGCCCUGCCUUCCUUACCUCCCAGACAGGAAGGUCUUAGCCUGCACCUGCUUGUAUGGCUGUUCUCUCUAUCUGGAAGGUUCUUCUUCCUCAGUAAAUGAGUUGUUCAGCCAUUCUCUUCCAUGAGCUCACUGCUCACCUCGGGCAAUGGCUUACUCUUCUGUUGUAAGACAACUCCUCCUGCUCACCCUCACCCUACUGCCUACCCUCCCCCGCCUACCCUCCCUCCUGCCAAUAGUACUUCAGUCUUUUUUACGGUAAUGGCUAAUCAUCCUUGCCAGUCUGAUAGACUGAGAAUCGCCUAUCAGAUUAACGAAGCAGACCUCUGGGUAUGUCUGGGAGGACGUUUCUAGAUCAUGAAGGCACCAAUCAAGUCAAUGGCUUAAUCCAUGGAUAGAUUAAAGAUGUGAAUAGACUACUGGCAAGUAGUAGAUCUGUGAAACGUGGGCCCUGGUUGGAAGAAGUAGGUCAGCAGGCCCUGUCUUCCAUAUAUCACUCUUGUCCUGGUUCUCUUUCUGUCUGCCACAGGUACAGAAGCCCCAGCCCCCACCGCAUACUCCCAUCGCCAUGUGCGUGGGGACCUUGGACAGAACUCUUACUAUGAGCCGAAAUAAAUCAUUCCUCUCUGAUGUUGUUCUUCUUUGCUUCUUAUCAUAGGGACACAAAAAGAACUGCACAUUACUUAAUCCUACUGCCCCCUGACAUUUUUCUUGCCUAGUUAUCUCUGGAGCGUCAACCUUUACUACUGUGUGGGUUCUAUGAAGGUGGGGGUCUCAUUAUACUGUGCUCUUUACUCUAUUAUCCAAUGGUAGACUACCUGCCAUGUAGGGGAUCAAUGAAUGCCUGUUAUGUGGGGGGCAGGGAAUAGAGGGCGUGGCCAUUGCACGUUAGAAGGAGACAGACCCUCAAACCAGGCUCAUCUCUUCCCUGUGAAGCCCAGACUCUUGAAGCCUCAACUGGAUGGAUAUCCUCCACUCACAAAUAUGUCUACAAGAACCCCCUCACAGGACUUCCUCUCCUGGUUGGAAGAGCACAGAGCACAGCCCAGCCUGGCUCUUCUUCCUAAUAGAAAGCACUGUUAGGAACUUUGGCCAAAGCACAGGACUGGGCUGCAGCGACCCAGGAACCCUCAUCCCCUCCUGAUUGCAUCCACAUAAGGCUAAGAUGAGUUUUCGCCUGCCUGAAACAACCAAUGUGCAGUCAGGGACCAGCCUGGAAGGAAAGGCUGCUGUGGGGCUUGGAUUCCCAGAAGAGCAGCUCACAGGUGACCCUGGCACAGCUUUGCCUGAACCUCACCUUACUGCCUACACAGCCCUUCCUUGGGGUGGUAUUACUGAACAGUGGCACAAUCCUGGAGGAAUUCUGGAGGAAAAGGCCACCUAGCCUGGGACCGGGGAGGACAUCUGUGCUCCUCUGAUGUAACUGUUUGAAGGGAAUGGGGAGCAAGCCUGUGAUGGCAUCAGGGUUAAUAGAGCCUCCUGCAAACUUGGAAUCCAAAUGGCUCUGGCAGCUGCAUCGCAAUCUAAACAGGCUUUCCUGUGGAUUUUUCUGAUUAAUGCAAAUUUGUUUUGCUUUGCAAAUUGAAAAUCAGUUGCAAGCACCUGGUGUAAUAAUUCCAGUAGGAUGCUGAGCUCCCCGAAGGGAAACCGUGUAUCCUCACAGCCCCCAGUGCCCAGACUUGCCCAUCCUGUCCCACCUUUGGUUCUUGGGUGAGCAGGCUCUGUUCUUAACCACACAGAAAACAGCUCAAGGCAUCCUACCACAAACUGAGUACACCUCGGUUCCCACUGUGACUCAUGCUGUCUUUUUUCCUCCUGAUGCAAGGUGACAGAUACAACCAGGGAAGUUUUCCAAACCCUUCCUCAGAAGCCCACCCUGUGCCUCCUGCAGGGAUGUCAUUAUUGUUAGUGGCUCCAGCAUGGCACUGUUUUAUCUUUCAGAAAGGCAACUACCAGAGUUCAGGAGAUGAAGUCCCAGGUCCCUUUUCUCUGUGCCUGUCCCAACAGCCACACAUCAACAUGCAAAGCUUCCUCCCAAGAUUAAAAACAGAGACCUACUUGGAGGGGGGGGGGGCUCACAAGGAAAGCUAGUGACAGGAGAGACCUUGUAAGAAGAGUCCUUUAACUGCUUCUCCUGUUCUGCCCAGCCUUGACCUAGGUACCUGUCAAAGCAGAACUAGGGAGUUACGUGCUGAGGGCCGGGAACACAUCAGCAGCCUGUCCCCUCCUCCACCGGAUGGCUACAGUGUAUUGUUCAUUCAGUUCUGAGGGAAGAUGGUUAUGAACGGCCGGCUGCUCGCUCCCCCCUCCUCUGCCACGCAAUUUAAAGGCAAGAGACCGAGAAACACAUUGGAAAUCCAAAUUAAAAUAUACUCCCGCAGCAAUCACGCACCCAAUUAAAGUCACCCGGAGCCUA